rnacentral:rRNA from 1 species
GACGAACGCUGGCGGCGUGCUUAAUACAUGCAAGUCGAACGAUGAAGCCCAGCUUGCUGGGUGGAAGAGUGGCUAACGGGUGAGUAACUCAUGAGUAACCUUCCCUGAACUCUGGGAUAAGCACUGGCAACGGUCUCUAAUACUUGAUACGACCUAUCACCGCCUGGUGUGUGCGUGGAAAUAUUUAUCUGUUCUGGAUGGUCUCGCGGCCUAUCAGCUUGAUGGUGAUGUAAUGUCUCACCAUGGCGACGCCGGGUAGCCCGCCUGAGAGGGUGACCGGCCACACUGGGACUGAGAGACGGCCCAGAAUCCAACGGGAGGCAGUAGUGGGGAGUAUUGCAGAAAGGGCGCAAGCCUGAGGCAGCAACGGCGCGUGAGGGAUGACGGCCUUCGGGUUGUAAACCUCUUUUAGUAGGGAAGAAGAGAAAGUGACGGUACCUGAAGAAAAAGCAACGGCUAACUACGUG